UACGAAGGGGGCUAGCGUUGCUCGGAUUUACUGGGCGUAAAGGGCGUGUAGGCGGCUGCGUAAGUCAGAUGUGAAAGCCCCGGGCUUAACCUGGGAACCGCAUUUGAUACUGCGCGGCUUGAGUUUGGGAGAGGAUAGCGGAAUUGCAGGUGUAGAGGUGGAAUUCGUAGAUAUCUGCAGGAACACCGGUGGCGAAGGCGGCUAUCUGGAACAUAACUGACGCUGAGGCGCGAAAGCGUGGGGAGCAAACAGG
rnacentral:rRNA from 1 species